rnacentral:rRNA from 1 species
UGGGCAAUGCCCGCAAGGGUGACCCAGCAACGCCGCGUGGAGGAUGAAUGUCGUAAGAUUGUAAACUCCUGUUAGAGGGGAAGAAUAGUACCGGUUGGACCGGUAUAUGACUGUACCCUCAGAGAAAGCCCCGGCUAACUACGUGCCAGCAGCCGCGGUAAUACGUAGGGGGCAAGCGUUGUCCGGAUUUACUGGGUGUAAAGGGCGCGCAGGCGGGAUAAAAAGUCAGUGGUGAAAUCCUACAGCUUAACUGUAGAACUGCCUUUGAUACUUUUAGUCCUGAGGUCGGGAGAGGAAGACGGAAUUCCAGGUGAAGUGGUGAAAUACGUAGAUAUCUGGAAGAACACCCGUUGCGAAGGCGGUCUCUUGGUCCGCAACGGACGCUGAGGCGCGAA